rnacentral:rRNA from 1 species
AAUAUUGGUUAAUGGACGCAAGUCUGAACCAGCCACGUCGCGUGAAGGAAGACGGCCCUACGGGUUGUAAACUUCUUUGGUAAGGGAAUAAAGUGAGUCACGUGUCACUUGUUGCAUGUACCUUACGAAUCAGGAUAGGCUAACACUGUGCCAUCAGCCGCGGUAAUACGGAGGAUCCGAGCGUUAUCCGGAUUUAUUGGGUUUAAAGGGUGCGCAGGCGGGAGAUUAAGUCGGCGGUGAUAUUUUGCAGCUCAACUGUACAAGUGCCUUCGAAACUGGUUUCCUUGAGUGUAGAUGAAGUAGGCGGAAUUUGUGGUGUAGCGGUGAAAUGCAUGGAUAUCACGAGGAACUCCGAUUGCGCAGGCAGCUUACUAAGCUACUACUGACGCUCAGGCACGAAGGCGUGGGGAUCAAACAGG